CURGAGGAGUGGGUGGUCGGCCGUGUUCAGGACAGACUGGAAAGGCAGGACGGGAGCGGGGGGCUUGGACGCCACCAGCGUGGGGCGGAGGGCGCUCUGCCACCACGCAAGGUCCAGCCCCACUGGUCCCUUUUCUCCCUACAGCUKCUAGGUCCUGAACUGCCUUUUUCUGCCAUGAUGCCCCACCUCACCUUAGGCCCAGAGCUGCAGAGUCAGGUGGUCAUAGACUGAACUUCCGAAAUCAUGAGCCCAAAUAAACCUGUCCUCUGUGUUGUUUUUGUCACAGCAAUGAAAGAGCUAACUAAAACAGAAAUUGGUACUGAGGAGUGGGACGUGGCUGGCUGUGACUGAUGCGACCAUGGGGCUCAGAAGCUUUUGGAGCUGGUUUGUGUGGCAUGGGGGGAGGGGUGUUUGAAGAAUUUAGCGAAGCUGUCGAAAGUUGUAAGCAGAGCUUGAUGGGUGACUGCCAUGAGUUCAGGAGACCUGAACGCAGUGGCACUGAGGUUUCAGAGGAGAGGAUGGGGUCGAAGUUGGACUGGAGGCCAUUCAUAUCAUGUUCUGGCAAAGAAGGGUGUAAAAGAAGACAUUUUUUUGAGAAGAGACCAAAGGGGCAUCCAGCUUGGGGGAGGGGGUGCUAGUAAAUUUUGGGGUUUGUUUUUACCAUGCUCGGCCACCCAGGCCUGCAGAGGAUGCUGCAUCCGUGGUCCCAGCAGGCUUAGCUCCUAGUAGCUCAAGAUGGCGACAGACCUUGGCAUCCAUCACGUCGUGCUGGUGCUGCAGGAAUGAAGGAUGCUGGAGUUUGGGGGUCGUGAAGGCUUCCACCAAGAUUGCAAAGGAAAGCCUGGAGGCCUGGCAGAGUGCAGCAGGGUCAGAGUCCCUGUGGGACGCCCCUGAGAGGCCAAUACAUGAAGAGGUGAGAAGGAAGCCAGAAGCCUCAGUGGAGACCCCAAAGGUGCCAGUAACCUAGGACAUCACUGAGGAAAGCCGCAGGUACGGGCAGAGACAAGCAGCRGAGAGGCUGUGGGGGCCGCAGCCCACAGCCCAGAGAGACCCUCACCCUGCCAAGUGCCCAGGUGCUGGACAUGGAGMUACAGGACUUGCUUGCCCCCCAGGGUUUCGGUCUUGCUUUGGUCUCGUCCCUGUUUUUCCCUUGUGGAAUGGGAAUGUUUACUCUGGGCCAUUACAUAUUGGGUAUAUGUGACUUGCUUUUGACCUUUACAGGGGACAACAUCCAUGAAUUCAUCUGAAGUCUUGGAUGAGAUCUUGGACUUGGACUCGGGGGCAGUGGUAGAACUGCUGAGACCAUGGGGACCCCUGGAAAUGGACCAAUGUAUUUUGCAUUGUGAGAUGGGUGUGAGCUUUUGGGGGCCAAGGAGAGAAAGUUAUGGUUUAAAUAUGAAUGAAGUGCCUCCCAGAAGCUCAUGUGUGAGACAAGGCAAGCGUUUCAGGGGUAAGACGGGGAGAUCAUCAGAGGUGUGACCUUGUCAGUGGAUUGAUCUACUGAUGGACUGCAGGCAGGUGGAAUGUGGCUGGAGGAGGUGGGUCCCUGGGUUGUGACUUUGGGGUUUAUAGUUUGUCCCUAGUGAGUGGAGGUCUUGCUCUACUUACCUGUUACCUGCUUACCUGCUCUAGUUACCUGUCCUGAGCUGCCCUCCUCUACCACACCCCCAGCCAGGAAGUUCUGCCUCACCUCAGGCCUGGAGCUGUGGGGUURCCCAAGGAUGUACUAACCCCUUGAAACUGGGCCCACAUGAACUUUUCCUUCUCCACACUGUGCUUGUCAGGUCUUUGGCUCAUGGUAACAAAAAGGCUGUCUAUGACACACCUCAGUCCCCGGCCAUUUCUCACGUCAAUGCCCACAAUACGGCUGGCGUUCAAUUUACACUCACAACAGUCACUGUGUUGCCAAGAAAAUUCUGUGUGUUCAGGAUAUUUCUUCACUAAAGGCUAGAAAUAAUAAAU